rnacentral:lncRNA from 1 species
GGGGGCAGCCAGGUGCAGGUCGGAGACACAGGACCGUAUCUUGGAGUGGACGGGGUCACAGAGAACUUGGCGCAGAAUGACCUGGCAAGAGAGGGCAGGGUGAGGAAGGGAGAACCUCAAAGCAUAUUUACUUUGGGUCUUCCUGGGAAUUUGAGAUAUGGGAGCGCCAAGGACCAAGAGGAGACCAGAUGAGUUUUCAAAGCAGUCCUCACACACCCAGGACACACCUCAUCCUUUGCCUCGUGCUUUCUGCAAUGUUGCUGCUCACAUUCAUCUUCCUAUUAACCCUUGCCAUCAUAACCCCUUCCUGACCACCAUCUUUCUCCAUCCACCACCCACUCAGUUCUUUCUCCGAGGUAUCCCUCUAUAGGCAGUGGCUUUGGUCUCUGAUUGGCAAGUUUCCCUUUGAGUUAUAUCCAGAUGACUAACAUUAGUUCCCCUACUUCCCACCCCAGACUCAGCCCAGCAUUCAGCCACCCUGGUCAGGAAAACCACAGCAAACCCUACUUCUGCCAAGAUGAAGUUGCAAGACUCUCUGCCAGAGCAGUUGCACACAAUGAAGGGAACCAAGGUAUCUGAGUUGUGAUGCAAUUGAAACCAGAUGGAAAGACCAGAA